GCUAGAAUCCAGAGCAUGUUGAAGAGGUCACAGUUUAGUGGGGAGACCUAUGUCAGUGUACACAGGCUUUGGUGGCAAGUGGUUUGGAUAUUAAUCUUGAGUCUACUAUCAGAUGGAGAAGUGUGUGAGUGUGAGCAGUUACCGCCCUCCAAUGAGGACCUGGGAACAGAAAACCAAAUGUAAGAAGAUCCAGGUUCAAUUCCCAGCAUCCCCAUGGCAACUCACAACCGGUUGUAAUUCCAGUCCCUGGGAAUCCAGGUCUCCAGCUGAUGUCCACAGGCACCGGGGAC